GGGUCCACUGAGCAAUGAGCUGGAUAACACUCUCAGGAAGAUUGAUAACAUCAUCGGUCAGCUGAUGAACGGCCUGAAGCAGAUGAACCUGCACCGCUGUGUGAACGUCUCCUUGGUGGGCGAUCACGGGAUGGAGGAGUCACACUGUGAACGAACUGAGUAUUUGGGCUCUUACGGACUGAAUGUUGAUGCUAUCACACUGAUCCCAGGAUCCUCUGGAAGAAUCGGCCCCAAAAGCGCCAGCACACCA